rnacentral:lncRNA from 1 species
CCCCCAUUCACCUCUAUGUUGUCUUCUUUUCCUUCUCACCCUCUACCCCUUCCUUCUUUCCUCAGAGCUCCUGGAUCCCCUCUAGGUGUCAUCUGACAGUCUUUUCCUGGAGAGGGGGACUGAAGUGGAGAGGGAGGAGGGAAUAAAAAGGGAUGAAGGAGGAAAAGCAGACACUAACAGACAAGGAGUGAGGGAGACACAGUCGAAGGAAGAGAGACACACUAUCGCAGCUAUGCCCGAAGCCAAGAAGCCAGCAGCCAAGACAGAUAAGGCUGCAGCAGCACCUGCUGGUGAGGAAACUGUCCCAGGGGGACAGUCCGAGCUGACCGGACUAUUUGUAGAGAGGCCAGAGAGCACUACAGUAAUCAAAGGGAAGAACGUCACCUUUGUGGCUAAAGUGGACUCAUCUGACCUGCUGAGGAAGCCCAACAUGAAAUGGCUGAAAGGGAAGUGGCUGGACCUGGGCAGCAAGGCUGGCAAGCACGUGCAGUUUAAAGAGGCCUAUGACAGGAACUCCAAGGUCUACACAUAUGAGAUGAGCAUCAUCAAAGUAGUGGAAGGAGACGCAGGUGGCUACCGUUGUGAGGUCACCUCCAAAGACAAGUGUGACAGCUGUACAUUUGAAGUCACAGUGGAAGGUGUGUCCCUCCCAGAUGCAGGAGAGGAUGCAGGUGACCUGGACUUCAGUGCCCUCCUCAAAAAAAGGGAAAAAAAGGCRAGGGACGAGCCCAAAGAGGAUGUGGAUGUGUGGGAGAUCCUGAAGGAUGCUAAGCCAUGUGACUAUGAGAAGAUUGCCUUUGACUAYGGCAUCACAGACCUCAGGGGCCUGCUCAAGAGACUGAAGAAGAUGAAGAAGGUGGAACCCAAGAAGAGUGACGCCUUCCUGAAGAAGCUAGAGCAAUGUUACUCUGUGGACAAGGGCAAGAGGACCCAGAUGCAUGUUGAGCUCCAUGACCCCAACGUUCAGGUCAAAUGGCUGAAGAACGGAGUGGAGAUCAAACCCUCUGCCAAGUAUGUGUUUGAGUGCGUGGGCAACAAACGGACACUCACCAUCAACAAGAGCAACCUGUCUGACGAUGCAGCCUAUGAGUGUGUGGUGGGAGAGGAGAAGAGCUUCACUGAAGUCUUUGUCAAAGAGCCCCCGGUCACCAUCACCAAGCUGCUGGACGAUGUGCAUGUAGUGGUGGGAGAGAAGGUGGAGUUUGAGUGUGAGGUGUCAGAGGAAGGAGCCAACGUCAAAUGGAUGAAAGAUGGAGUUGAGCUGACCAAGGAUGGGAAGUACAGGAUAAAGAAGGAUGGGAAGAAACACACUCUGGUCAUCAAUGAAGCAACCAUAGAGGACAUCGGAAUGUACUAUGUUUACACUAAUGGGGGAGAAUCCAAAGGAGAACUGGAAGUGGAAGCCAAGGAGCUGGAGGUUCUGCAGAGUAUAGCUGACCUGUCGGUGAAGGCGUGUGAACAGGCCAUGUUCAAGUGUGAGGUGUCUGAUGAGAAGGUGGUGGGCAAGUGGUUCAAGGACGGUGUGGAGGUCAAACCCGGCAACCGCAUCAAGAUGUCACACAUCGGAAGGAUCCACAAGCUGACGAUUGAUGACGUGAAGCCGCAGGACGAAGGAAACUACACCUUUGUCCCUGAAGGAUACGCACUCUCCCUCUCCGCUAAACUCAACUUCAUUGACCCUCCCAAAAUCCACCUGGACACCAGUAGCACGGGCAGCAAGAACACCAUUGUUGUGGUGGCUGGCAACAAGCUCCGCCUUGAUGUGGAGAUCACAGGAGAGCCUGUCCCCACUGUGUGCUGGAUGAAAGGAGACACUGGCAGAGUGAGGGUGGAAACUAGGACCACUCUGAGCAGCUUUGUCAUUGAGGGGGCGGAGAGGCCAGACGAAGGCCAGUACUCUAUCAUAGUGACCAACCCAGCCGGAGAGGACAGGGCUGAGCUCAAUGUCAAGAUUGUUGAUGUGCCUAACCCUCCAGAGAACGUCAGAUGUAUGGGAGUUGGCGAGGACACAGCCACCAUUACAUGGGAUCCCCCCAAAUUUGACGGGGGUGCACCCAUCAAAGGCUACUUGAUGGAGAGGAAGAAGCAGGGUUCCUCCAGGUGGACCAAGCUGAACUUUGAGGUGUUUGAGUCAACCACGUACGAGGCUAAGAAGAUGAUUGAGGGUGUUUUUUAUGAGAUGAGAGUGUUUGCUGUCAACGGGAUCGGGAUCUCCCAGCCCAGCGGCAACUCAAAGCCCUUCAUGCCCAUAGCCCCUACCAGUGAGCCCACUCGUCUGACGGUGGAGGAUGUGACAGACAGCACCUGUGCCCUGAAGUGGCGUCCUCCAGAGAGGGUUGGAGCAGGGGGCGUUGACGGGUACAUAAUCGAGUGGUGCAAAGAAGGAGAGGAUAACUGGGUGGAAGCCAAUAAGGAGCCAGUGGACAAGAACACGUACCGUGUGAAGGGGCUGCCAACAGGAGAGAAGCUCUUGUUCAGAGUGGUGGCUAUGAACAUCACUCACACACAUUACCCAAAGAUCCGCCUGCCUCGCCAGCUAAGAACCAAGUUCAUCAGGAAAGUGGGCGAGAAGAUCAACCUGGUCAUCCCCUUCCAGGGGAAGCCUCGCCCCGUGGUCAACUGGCUGAAAGAUGGUGAGCCCCUGGAGAAUAAGUCGGUGGGCAUCCGCACCAGUGACUUUGACACCAUCCUGUUCAUCCGCUCGGCAGAAAGGGACCACUCUGGGACGUACACCCUGUCUGUCCAGAUAGACAACAUGCAGGACAAGGCUGACAUACACAUCCAGAUCGUAGGUCAGUCACUGGCACCAACAUCAUUAGGGGCUCUGGUGAAAAGUAGUUCCCUCCCUCCUCUCUUAACUCCCCCUCUCCCGUCCUCUCCUCAGGCUAAGAUAGUGUGGAUGAAGAACAAGAUGAUCAUUGGGGAGGAUCCUAAAUUCUUGAUGCAGAACAACCAGGGGGUGUUGACCCUGAACAUCAGGAAGCCCGGCCAGUUUGACGGGGGCAAGUACUCCUGUAAGGCCAUCAACGACCUGGGGGAGGACGAGGUGGAGUGCAGGCUGGAAGUCCGAGGUACUGGCACACACACACACAGUCCUCUCUUUCAUGGUGAGUUUCUCUCUCUGCCCUCCCCAGUCUUAAAGGAGAAGAAAGAAGGAGACGAGGAGAAGAAAUGA